GUUCAGCCCAAUCAGGGCACCGUAGUGGCGCUCGUUCAACCGCCAGGACUUCACCAUGGGCACCCACUCCUGCCCCAUGGCUUCCAGAACCAGCCAGGCGGUGUGUAUCGAGCGGCUCAGCAAAGAGGUUGGCCUUGAAGUCGAAGGACUCCUUCUGCUUGGAGCCCAGCAGAGCCCCCAGCAUGGCUUCGGCCGAAAUCCUCACCCUCUUCAGGUUGGGCCUCUUCAGUUUACCCUUCAGCUCGAAGAUCUUCUGGGACAGGUUUUCAAUCUGUCCCGGGGCAAAGCUCAUUUUUCAGUUACGGUCGCCGGAUUUAGAAAUAGGCAAAACCGGACAACAUGCACAGAUGCUGGAAGCGUAAUUGCGAACGGGGUUGGGAGCUGUCGCGGCUGGGGGAGGGGGUUCCCAUUGGAUCUGAAGGACAGCGGGGGGGUCCUCUCGGAAACGACAUUGGACGUUGGACAGGCGGACUGGGAAAUCAUUGACACAUUAAUUAAUUUAAACUACCACUAAAUUUCCUCCAUCAAUUACUGAGACCGGACAAACUAGACCUGUACAACUAAUUUGAAGACCAAACAUUCCGAUUGAAAACUGGACAUCUAUCAACCCUAGUUUCAUUGUGGAAAAUAAAGUCUCACCCUCUUUACAGUAA